rnacentral:rRNA from 1 species
GUCCACGCCCUAAACGAUGUCAACUAGUUGUUGGGUGACUUGUUCACUUAGUAACGUAGCUAACGCGAGAAGUUGACCGCCUGGGGAGUACGGUCGCAAGAUUAAAACUCAAAGGAAUUGACGGGGGCCCGCACAAGCGGUGGAUUAUGUGGAUUAAUUCGAUGCAACGCGAAAAACCUUACCUACCCUUGACAUGCCAGGAAGUUGACAGAGAUGUUUGACGUGCCCGAAAGGGAAUCUGGACACAGGUGCUGCAUGGCUGUCGU